AUUUAAAUAGCUUAAAUAAAGCAUAACAUUGAAGCUGUUAGUAUGAUUAAAUAAUCUUUAAAUA
rnacentral:tRNA from 1 species